AUUGAACGCUGGCGGCAGGCCUAACACAUGCAAGUCGAACGAGUGGCGGACGGGUGAGUAAUGUCUGGGAAACUGCCUGAUGGAGGGGGAUAACUACUGGAAACGGUAGCUAAUACCGCAUACACUCGGAUGUGCCCAGAUGGGAUUAGCUAGUAGGUGGGGGAAAGGCUCACCUAGGCGCAUAGCCCUAGCUGGUCUGAGAGGGUGACAAGCCACACGGGAACUGAGAAACGGUCCUGACCCCUACGGGAGGCAGCAGUGGGGAAUAUUGCAAAAUGGGCGCAAGCCUGAUACAGCCGUGCCGCGUGUAUGAAGAAGGCCUUCGGGUUGUAAAGUACUUUCAGCGGGGAGGCGUUACCCGCAGAAGAAGCACCGGCUAACUCCGUGCCAGCCGCCGCGGUAAUAC
rnacentral:rRNA from 1 species